GUCGACGGCAAAGUUCCAGAGUGUCAUUCUCUGUCUGAUGGUCAUGAUGUUCAGCCAAAACCAAGCAGCUCUGCUCCUCAUUGUGCUGCUAGCGCACCGUGUCUUUGCAGGGUCUGAAACUGAUGACCACAGGGAUAUGCUGGUAUCCAGAGGAGACUCAGUCACGUUCCACUGCAACGUAUCCACAGAAAAUGCUUCGGAAAUGACCUGGAACUUUAAAAGAUUCAUUUAUAAACAUUCUAUCCUGAUAAAUCAGACUUUUUCAAAUGUAUCCUCUGACAGACUGAGAAUAGAUCCUUUAAAGUUAAAUAUUUUCAGUGCUCAACCUGAAGAUGCAGGACUUUAUUCAUGUAGUGUAACUUCCAGACGAGGCUUAAACAGUGUUUCCUGGACUUUAACUGUGUCUGAUGACAUUGAAGAAACCAGUUCAUCGUGGUAUUUACUAUACGUACUCACACCUGCAACUUUAUUGCUUCUAUGUGGCAUCGUAUCAGCCGUCUGCCU